CGGCUUCGGUCACCGGGACACACGCCCCUAUGGAGGUAGCUACACAUCCACCGUCACCGGUGCAACUAACUUCGGAUGAUGAGUUGUUUCAGGAGACCGGGGGGAGUGAAUUCAGCGACAGCUGUCUGCGCUCCUCCCCAUCGCCGAACUGACCUCAUCCAGGCUAACCUCCAGCACAGUCAGACAGCGUCGGCUUCCCUACGCAGACUGCUGGAGACCAAUCCGAAGACCAUCGCCGCGAUCCAAGAGCCGUGGAUCAGGAAUGGCAAGAUAUGUGGCCUGGGCAGCACCGGUGGUAAACUUUUACUGGAUACCUCCCUAUUAGGUUACACAGAAACAAUCAACCAGACGUCGUCCUGGCGUCCGCCUACUUACCAGGUGACGAGGACGUGCCCACUCCAGAACUCGGCCUUCUGGCUGACUACUGUGAGAGGGAGAAACUGGAGCUAAUCAUCGCGGCGGACUCCAAUGCGCACCACACGUUAUGGGGUAACGCUAGUA